rnacentral:rRNA from 1 species
UACGUAGGGGGCAAGCGUUGUCCGGAAUCAUUGGGCGUAAAGCGCGCGUAGGCGGCCCUGUAAGUCCGCUGUAAAAGUCAAAGGCUCAACCUUUGAAAGCCGGUGGAUACUGCAGGGCUAGAGUCCGGAAGAGGCGAGUGGAAUUCCUGGUGUAGCGGUGAAAUGCGCAGAUAUCAGGAAGAACACCCGUGGCGAAGGCGGCUCUCUGGGACGUGACUGACGCUGAGACGCGAAAGCGUGGGGAGCGAACAGG